rnacentral:rRNA from 1 species
AGUGGCAGACGGGUGAGUAACGCGUGGGAACGUACCCCUCGGUUCGGAAUAACUCAGGGAAACAUGUGCUAAUACCGUAUACGUCCGAGAGGAGAAAGAUUUAUCGGAGUUGGAUGAGCCCGCGUCGGAUUAGCUAGUUGGUGGGGUAAAGGCCUACCAAGGCGACGAUCCGUAGCUGGUCUGAGAGGAUGAUCAGCCACACUGGGACUGAGACACGGCCCAGACUCCUACGGGAGGCAGCAGUGGGGAAUAUUGGACAAUGGGCGCAAGCCUGAUCCAGCCAUGCCGCGUGAGUGAUGAAGGCCCUAGGGUUGUAAAGCUCUUUCACCGGUGAAGAUAAUGACGGUAACCGGAGAAGAAGCCCCGGCUAACUUCGUGCCAGCAGCCGCGGUAAUACGAAGGGGGCUAGCGUUGUUCGGAAUUACUGGGCGUAAAGCGCACGUAGGCGGACAUUUAAGUCAGGGGUGAAAUCCCGGGGCUCAACCCCGGAACUGCCUCUGA